rnacentral:rRNA from 1 species
GGAAUAUUGCACAAUGGGCGAAAGCCUGAUGCAGCAACGCCGCGUGAGGGACGACGGCCUUCGGGUUGUAAACCUCUUUUAGUAGGGAAGAAGCGAAAGUGACGGUACCUGCAGAAAAAGCACCGGCUAACUACGUGCCAGCAGCCGCGGUAAUACGUAGGGUGCAAGCGUUGUCCGGAAUUAUUGGGCGUAAAGAGCUCGUAGGCGGUUUGUCGCGUCUGCUGUGAAAACCCGAGGCUCAACCUCGGGCCUGCAGUGGGUACGGGCAGACUAGAGUGCGGUAGGGGAGAAUGGAAUUCCUGGUGUAGCGGUGGAAUGCGCAGAUAUCAGGAGGAACACCGAUGGCGAAGGCAGUUCUCUGGGCCGUUACUGACGCUGAGGAGCGAAAGCGUGGGGAGCGAACAGGAUUAGAUACCCGAG